rnacentral:rRNA from 1 species
AGCAGCCGCGGUAAUUCCAGCUCCAAUAGCGUAUAUUAAAGUUGUUGCAGUUAAAAAGCUCGUAGUUGAAUUUCGGGGUUAGUAGGUUGGUCAUGCCUCUGGUAUGUACUGGUCUCACUGAUUCCUCCUUCCUGAUGAGCCGUAAUGCCAUUAAUUUGGUGUUGCGGGGAAUUUGGACUGUUACUUUGAAAAAAUUAGAGUGUUUAAAGCAGGCUAACGCUUGAAUACAUUAGCAUGGAAUAAUGAAAUAGGACGUUCGAUCCUAUUUUGUUGGUUUCUAGGAUUGACGUAAUGAUUAAUAGGGAUAGUUGGGGGCAUUAGUAUUCAAUUGUCAGAGGUGAAAUUCUUGGAUUUAUUGAAGACUAACUACUGCGAAAGCAUUUGCCAAGGAUGUUUUCAUUAAUCAAGAACGAAAGUUAGGGGAUCGAAGACGAUCAGAUACCGUCGUAGUCUUAACCAUAAACUAUGCCGACUAGGGAUCGGAUGAUGUUAAUUUUUUAAUGACUCA